UACGUAGGGGGGCAAGCGUUGUCCGGAAUCAUUGGGCGUAAAGAGCGUGUAGGCGGCCCGAUAAGUCCGCUGUGAAAGUCCAGGGCUCAACCCUGGAAUGCCGGUGGAUACUGUCGGGCUCGAAUCCGGAAGAGGUGAGUGGAAUUCCUGGUGUAGCGGUGAAAUGCGCAGAUAUCAGGAGGAACACCAAUGGCGAAGGCAGCUCACUGGGACGGUAUUGACGCUGAGACGCGAAAGCGUGGGGGAGCAAACAGG
rnacentral:rRNA from 1 species